UACGUAGGGUGCGAGCGUUGUCCGGAAUUAUUGGGCGUAAAGAGCUCGUAGGCGGUGUGUCGCGUCGGUCGUGAAAACCUGGGGCUCAACUCUGGGCGUGCGGUCGAUACGGGCAUCACUAGAGUUCGGCAGGGGAGACUGGAAUUCCUGGUGUAGCGGUGAAAUGCGCAGAUAUCAGGAGGAACACCGGUGGCGAAGGCGGGUCUCUGGGCCGAUACUGACGCUGAGGAGCGAAAGCAUGGGUAGCGAACAGG
rnacentral:rRNA from 1 species